AUAUUUAGAACGUUGUUGUAUUAUAUAUCUACCAGAUGAAUUACUCUACCGCGUCGUUUCGAACGUAUUUUCCACUGUUCUUAUUCAGAUUUUAGCCAACAGCAAAGAGCAGCUGCUCUUUUAAGGCAGGCAGCAGAUUUGUUGAAUGUCAGCACAUGUGACAGGAGUACACAAUACCAGCACCUGCACCAGUAACCUCUGUCAGUAGCACUAGUGCUGCAAAGGCAAUUUUUGCACCCGACAGUAAAAGAAGGAGGCAUUGACAUGCAAAUACAGGAACUGUGGCAGUGUCAGCAUGGACUAUUACACCCAGGUGUAAUCAGGAAGGCAUCACUAAAGAGGCCUGUGCUAGAUAUUUUGGAACUACAGUCUAUACCACAGUUCCUGGUUACAACUAAUGACACCUGUUGAAGGAGCUAGACGUUACCAGGGAGAGACACCAGCACAAAGGUGAAUCAGAUUAACUGGAGCUACAAGCAGCUUAAGAAAAACCUUCAGGGACCAGUCUAAAUGUUCUGAUAAUGACAAUAGUGUGUUAUGUGUUUUAUUGCUAAGAAUUUUGGGUACUCUGUAUCCAAUAUCUAAAGUGGUAUUUUAUUAAGAUUUAGAAAAUAAUAAGGCCAAUCUUAAUAAGAAAUAUUCUGCUGGAACAUAUUGAUCUGUUUAUUUAAUCAUGCAGAAAUUUGUUGUUUGCCAUUUGAUCAUUUGGCAUGCUUAAGCUCAACAUAAUAUAAGAGAAAUUGAUUUAUUUCACAUUACUUUACUUAUCUUGCAAUGAUUUUUCAAGCAUCUUUUUCACACAUCUUGUAGAUUGGUAAGCAGAUAUGUUCUUGCUAGAUUUCAAUGGUGUAGCUUUUUAGUAAAAAUGUCUUGCCUUUCUAUUGUGUGGUGCUGAUAUUUAGACAUAAUUUAGUUAUAAUUUUUUUGCAGUGAACAGCCUAGGUUAAGUAGACCUGGUACAUGUAUUCAAUCAAAUUGAACCGCGUUCUGGGGAAAUUGGCUUUAUGCAUGUGUGUGAAAUGUUGUCCCAGAUUAGCUUAUGUGGUCCACACAUGCUUAUCUGGGACAACACUUUCAGCCUAGACUGGAUUUUCUUUUUCAAAAUACUUUCUUUGAACGAAAAAUCUCAUAAAACCAGAAAGUGUCUUCCCUGGUUAGCCUGUGCGGACCGUACAAGUUAAUCAGCGACAACACUUUAGGAACAUGCAUUAAACCCCAUUUUCCCAGAGCAAGGGUCAAUUGUAUUUAUUUCCUUUCAAUAUUUACAUGCCCUUUAUUUUAGGAUCAUACAGAUUCUAAAUGCCUAUCCAUUGUAGGCUGAAUAUUCAGGUCUUAAUGCAUGUGUGUCAAGUGUUAAUCAGGGCAAAUCAGCGAUGACAUUUUACCUAAAUGGAAUUGUUCGAUUAAAAAGUCUGUGGAGGAAAGUGUUGUCCCUGAUAAGCCUGUGCUGCCGGUACAGGCUUAUCUGAGACAACAUUUUGAGCACAUGCAUUGGUUCCAAUUUUCCUAGUGCCAGACUCAAAUGUUAAAGAAAUGCACUAUUUAAAAAUAUAUUCAAUGAAGAGCAGCAAUAGUGGUUUGCAAUUUUUUGAAAAUCUCAUAAUUUUUCAAAUAAAAAAGAUUUAUUCAUUAUUUACAACAAGAUGCAAUCAUCUUUCCAAAACAACAACAUAAUUGGCAUUUCUUGUAAACUUAAAAAGGCUAUUCACACUAUAUGAUAAAUUAAAAUGGUAUUUAUUAUAAACAAUACCAUACUCAAGAAGCACAUACAGUUCUCACUAUUCUAUUCAUAGCAAUUCAUAUUGAUUUCAACAAAAACUAUCAUAAACAACAUUCCCAUUUGCAUCUUUUAAAAGGAACAAGUAUUUUAAAUGCUAUUUCAAAACACAACCUAUCAUGGAAACAAAAUGUUGACUUUUGAAGAGGCACUGUUGUAUAAAGUUCUUUCUUGAAAUGAACGUUUUUAGUAAUCAAGAUAGAAAAUUACAGUACCUCUUCGACUCCUUCAAAAUAUAUUGGUACAUACAAAAUAAAGACAAACUCAUACUGAUGUAACAACCGGAGACAUGCAGUCUGAUUUCUGGUUAUCUGCUGAAACACCUUUUAUAGAGUGUGAAAAUUACAUAAAAAUAUUAUUUUAUCUAAGACAUUUAUGGCUGAACAAAAGCUUUUUUUUAACAAACAAGAGCUGUGUUCGUGAAACACAAUGCUCCCUACCGUGCCGCUUUGCAGCCAUAUAUUUGACCUUGAAGGAUGACCUUGACCUUUCACCACUAAAAAUCAGCAGCUCCUAGAAAUACGCAUGCAUGCCAAAUAUGGAGUAGCUAUCUUCAAUAUUGCAAAAUUCGACCUUGCCCUUGAAGGAUGACAUUGACCUUUCACCACUCAAGAUGUGCAGCUCCGUGAGAUAUGCAUGCAUGCCAAAUAUCGAGUUGCUAUCUUCAGUAUUGCAAAUUUGACCUUGACCUUGAAGGAUGACCUUGACUUUUCAUCACUCAAAAUGUGCAGCUUCAUGAGAUACACACGCAUGCCCAAUAUCAAGUUGCUAUCUUCAAUAUUGCAAAAUUUUGAUCUUUGACCUUGACCUUGAAGGAUGACCUUGACUUUUACCUUUCACCACUCAAAAUGUGCAGCUCCAUGAGAUACGCAUGCAUGCCACAUAUCAGCUGCUAUCUUCAAUAUUGCAAAAUUUGACCUUUGACCUUGAAGGAUGACAUUGACCUUUCACCACUCAAAAUGUGCAGCUCCAUGAGAUACACAUGCAUGCCAACUAUCAAGUUGCUAUCUUCAAUAUUGCAAAAUUUGACCUUGAAGGAUGACCUUUACCUUCACCUUUCACCACUCAAAAUGUACAGUGCCAAAUAUAAAGUUGCCAUCUUCAAUAUUGAAAAAGUUAUGGCCAAUGUUAAAUUUUUCGGACGGACAGACAGACGCCAUAUAUUUGAAAUUUGACCUUGAAGGAUGACCUUGACCUUCACCUACCUCCUUCACCUACCUUGCCACCCUACGGGGGGGGCAUACAAACAUAUUCCACCAGAGAAAUAUCAACAAUUAUGUAAGUUAUAUCUAAGAAAAGGUUGUUGUUGUUUUUUACAAAAUCAUUACCUCAAGUGUACAAAAUCUUGUAUAAUCGUCCCUGAUUGGCCUGUGUGGAAUGCACAGGCUAAUCUGGGAUGGCACUUUACGCACAUGCAUUAAGCCCAGUUUUCUCAGAACUCGACUCUUUUUAUGAAACGGUGUUUGUUCAUGAUCUGAUCAUAAUCUACGAAAAAUCAUGAUAAUUAAGAUACAUAUAUGUAAUAUUCUAUUCACUAUUGUGAAAUCUUUCGCUUUUUGUGUAAGAUUAAGUAAUCUAAAUAAAGCCCGGUUACUUCAA